GAGCCGAUGGAAACGCGAGAGGAUAUCGCACGAUGCCGCGGAACUCGCGUAGCGUUAACGAUUUUUCAGCUAACUUGCUAAUAUGAUUCCAAGUAUCGCGAAACACCAGAAAGACGAAAGCCAAUCCCGUCGUCCCGGGUCCACGUUCACGGAUUGCGAAUCGUUUCGUACAGGGUGAGUCGUGAAUCGUCGCGAUAUUCGAGCUAGGUCUGUCCGAUCAAAAAAAUUAUGAUUCAAACGAAUGUUUCUCGACACAUUUUCUUUUUAUUGGACUAUCAGAACUACACCGCUGACCAUAAGCAUUGUAUUAGGACACUUGCAUGGAUUCAUUGUAACUGAAAUUCGUUUAGAAAUUCUACGAGUAACUACAUUUACAAAUACUCCGAUUCUUCCAAGUUCCUUCAUGGCUGCUGCCAUAAAAUGUAACGAAGUUAUAUUACUAAUUUAACACGUUGAACGCCACGUCACCCGCACAAGGCUGACAUGGAUUUUCACUGAGGAAUUAAAAAAUUAAUUCUGAAAAUCAAGUGUUGAAAAAAAGCAAGUCUGAAAAGGAUUCAUGAAUUGCGAUCGGCUUGUAAAACUAAAUGCUAACCGCAAAUAUUAAAUUAAAUAACUUCCAUUUUGCAAUUGUUGCAAAAAGUUAACGAAAUAAACGUCAGCAAAUGUAUCAAGUGCCCUAAUACUCGUGACCAGCAUUUUUCUUAGAGAUCCCAUGGGAAAAGCUCGGUAUCCCCGAGGCAAGCAACCCAGCUUCGCACAAUAAUAAUAAUAAUCAGAACUAGUUGAAAUAUCGCAGGGCUGUUUUCACGACCCACCCAGCACGUUCUUGCAAUUGCCGACCACGGAUGUUUGUUCCAUGAAAUUCCCGUGAAAAACUUACGAAGUCGGCGAGGGUUUUUCUCGAAACUGUGAAACUGGUUUCAAUUCGAGACUCUUUUUCCGCAAAACAGACACCGAAGAUGUCGCGCUCGUUACGAGAAAACAAACGUGCCCCGGAUAACAAUGUCCAAGUGCUCUGUGAAACCGCGAGAACGUUAUAUACUCCGUUCUUUUUCUCUUAGUGUUUCUUAAUUAUCUCGCCACGUGUAAUCAAUGCCGGAAAGCCUCUGCGAAACAAAAGCGAACUCGUUAGAGGGGCGUUUGUUGCCAUGCAUAUCGCGGUGUAAUUAUAUUUCGAGGAUUGUAACUUCAACAGUGGCCGGACAACCUUCGCGGCCGGCUGCCUUUCACGGAGUUAAAGAACACGUGAAUAUAUAUCCCUGAGUACAUCCGUGUCACGAAUACGAGCCCGCGGUCCAAAUCAUGGAUACUUAAUAUUUCAAGUGGCAACGAAGAAUGGGACGUUAGUCGAGCGAUUUAACAUAUUUAUUCGAAAUUUUCAACAUAAUUAGUCCUCAAGGAACAGCGACUACGCUGGAGUAUACGUGCUUCUUUCGCUGGGUCUUUUAAUUGAACUUGUUAGCGAUACCUCAACCUCCGUAAUCGAGUUUAAUUUAAAGACAUUCGCAGGGAAGGCUGUCGAUGAAUAAUGCAAUGGCAAAUCACUGCGACUGGAUUACCUAAUUCUAUUUUUCACCGGUCACGUUCAAACCCCCAAGGGUAAUACUCUGGAUCUACUUUAACAAGUUCAUAGUUCCUGGCAGAUUAAACAAUGUAAGGAUGGGUCAUCCGAGCUUUAGGUACAAAGCUUAGAAGAUUCACCCUGUAUGUUUUCACUCCUAGUUUUGUCUUUUACCUCAUUCACUGCCAAGCAAAUGUAAAGCGUUUCGACUUGGGCGCCAAGAUUCGAUACAGAUGUGCAAUCUAAGUUAUUAUUUUGAUAAUAGAAGUGAUAUAGAAUUUGUUGUUUUAAAAAAAAAUUUACGAUCUACUUUCGCAAUAAUUCCAUUCAAAAGGCUAUAAACUCAUCCCUUGAGUAAUUACUAUAAAUUUAAACUAGGAGACAGUAGUUGGCAGUGAAUGGGUUGAACAACGAAAAGCGAUUAUUUUCUUAUUAAAAUUACCCAUUUCCUUCAAAAUUUUUUUCUCUGUAAAUAAUUUCUAAUAUUCGGAUAUCCACUGAAUUUCAAAGCUCGUUUCAAAUUCCGCCAUUCGGUGACAACGCGUGGAAAGAUAUUAGCGGGGGAAUAUCGCAGAGGAGGAGCAGUUUUCCGCGAGAUGAUCGAGAGAAAUGUGGUCACAGGUUUCCACGAAAACGGGCGAGUCGCAGCGAUACGUCAUAAUUAAUCACGUCGCAGUCGGGCUGUAUCGCUUUAUUGGUCGCAUUACACGCGACACCUGGCCUUUAACAGCGUCUCGAAUUUCCCGAACGAGUGAAAAGAGACCCGUGGAAUAAAUGCGCGUCAAUUUUAAUCGAACGCACUCGGUUCUCCGGGCUACAAAAUAUCCCCCUGUGUUUCCGGUCGGUUUGAUCCAAUUCGCGAUACGCCUUACCUCUUUCAUCGUUUUCACAAAGUCCGCGACUACAUAUUGACGCGUUUAAACCGAUCAAAAUGCAAAACACAUCCAGCGCUGUGGGGGGGGGGGGGGAGGGCGGGGGGGGGUGUCAUCGGGAAAUAUUUAACGUGGCGUACUUUUGCGAAUUUUUCCCUCGUUUUUCUCUAUUUACGAGCCAUCGCAGUUUCAAACGGUUCGCUCGAUAAAAAGGUUACACAAAUUACAAUCAACGUUUAUGGGGGCGAUAAUUAUAGGAAAAUACCGCGAACGUGCUCGAAAUAUACACGAAACAUAAACGUGCGUCCUGCGUCGAGGGUUGAAAUAAAUUCGAAGCGAAUGAUUGGUAUUAAAGGGUCCGCCGUUUGGCGAAUCGAACGCGCAUUCAAUGAUAUGCGAGACUGAAUUCGAAACUGUACCAAUAAUCGUAAUUAAUUUGAAUAUCUAGCGCGCGCAACUUACGUUCCACUCCGUAAUCCGAGGAGAGCAUCGAGAAUAAUAACGGGAUCGGGUAACGAUCGCGUAUUUACCGAGAUCGCUUCGAGACGAGGAUAAAGAGGGGGAUAAUUUAUACAUCGACGUAACUAAAAUACAAGUCAGAAGUGGGCACGAUAAUGAAAACCGUUCUGUUUUCUGUCCCUCGUUGCUCAUGAAACAUUCAAGAGCUCAGACAAAAGCUUCUUCGCGAGACGAUCGUCUCUUUCUCUGCCACUGUACCGAUCGACGAAUACCACUUCGGCUCAAGAUGGCUGGACGAGUACCGGUCGAGAGACGAAAAAAACAAGAGGGAGAACGGAAUAAAAAUGCCGCAGAAGUCGUGGUUUUCGAGUGCGGUUAUUAUGCUUUCCAAGAUUUUCGAAGGCUCGAGCAUUGUUUCGCUACCCGAAAAGGGCCAUGCUCGUGUCUCGAGCCGAGGCGAAACACGGGGCUACACUGCGUGGAAGACAAAUGAACGUUCUUCCCCAGCGGCGUGGGCCGAGCGCCAAACUAGAAACCACUCCUUCCCCGAGACCUUCGUUUCCUUUCUUCUACGCCCUCUCUCGUUUCUGGUCAUCCACCCACCCCCCUGAAUCUCCUUCUUCUCCUUUUCCACCGGCCACUUGCUCUUAUUUCCCUCCUUUUGUUUAAUCCCAGCUUUUGCACCCGUACCACUGCACCCAGUGGUGCACACGAUCCGACAUACCCGCUGAUCCCCUCCUCUCAUCGAGAUUAGAUCCCCAAAAUAGAGUCACGAAUUCGAGUAUUCGCAAAUCUGAGAGUGGAAUUUACCAAUCGUCGAAACUGUAGCACUUUUAAUUAGUCAAGACGCUCUCUGAACCUGAUACAAAUUUUUCUGACGUAUCCGCAAAGACUAACAGCUUUGAUCACAUUUUUCUUCUAUCCACGCCUUUAGUGCCCAGUACAAUAAGAAAUUUAAGAAAAUUUGUUUAAAUAAAUAAUAUACAGCCCAUAGAAGAUACGUCGAACCAGGGACAAAAGUGCAAAGUGAAGCAACUGACAUAGAACUGAACUGCAAGGAGAAAAAUAGCUAUACGGCCCUGUAUUAUUGAAUAAUAUUUGACCUAAUAGCGCCAGGGGGUUGUGCACCACUGCCGCGCCCUUUUUCACUCUCAUUCCUUCAGCCUGCUCUGACCCUUUCAUUACUUUUUUUUCUUUCCUAACCCCCUUCGUCGAGCCACUUUCACCGUCGCGACUCGGAAUCGACCACAUUCUAUUCCGCCUCUCCAUUCAACGAUCAGAAAGUUUCACGAAAUUCAUUAAAGACGCGUUUUAACUUCCCUCCCGAUUUGCCCGCUGGUCGAACACGGCGAAUCGGUUCUCCGGUCAGCGUUUCUUUCGCUACGACCAGCGUUUUCCAGCCGCCGACUCGCGAAUCCCGCCACCGUACCGACUUCCUGGCUAACCGGACAGGACAAGAGAGGGAUGAUUCUUUUGUCCUUUGAAUUCCUUUGUGCACCGCGAAACUUCGACUGGAGUUCUUUUGCCGGUGGUCGCUGAAAGAACCGACGCUGCAGCGACGAAAGAUCAAUUUACACCGGAGACGGAUUCCGUGACUGCGAGAAUUCCCCCGCUGAUCGAAAGACGCUGCGAAUCCAUGAAAGGAACACCGCGACCAUAAAAUUCGUCGUAAAAAUUUAUUUUUCUGUCGAAGCACCCGUUGUUAAUCCUUUCGAUACAUUGGGCGAGAUAUCUCGCUACUAAAACGUAAUUUGUAUGAUUUUAUGAACGAGAUAUCCCGUCCGAGUUAUGGACGAGAUAUCUCGCUACCAAAAUGUCGCUUUUGUGAUGCUAUGGACGAGGUAUCUCGUGUCGCAAUUUCUGUUAUGAGAUAUCUCCUACGAAUUACAUUUUGGUAGCGAGGUACCGUCUAGUGUAUCGAAAGGCUUAACUAAACUUUAUAUUCGAGGUUCCGUGGAACUGUGUUAAGUUCUGGAAUUUCAGAGAAUGCUACAACUUAAAUUCUAAGAACAGUCAACUUACUACCAUUAAACAUUUUCAAUGUGACAUGCGUCUACUAUUCAUGGCAGAAGCAAUAAAUUUGGAUAAAAAAAUUAUUGCUUCUAGCAUCGAUGGUAAGUGCAACUCGCGUAAUGACUUUUAAUUAAAAAUUGUACGGUACGAAGAGAACCCUCGUGGAGCUCUCUCGAUUAUCAAAAUAAAUGCUUCGAGGCUAAACUACAUAUGUAUAAAAGACUGAGUGCACUUGGACUUCGAGCUGGUGUUGCCUACAUCCGAUCCGUCUAUAUUUUCAUGAAAAAGUUGGUUUAUCGAAAAUAUAAAAAGGUAAAAGAAGAUAUUGGCUGCUGCGCGGAUAGCAUUCUUCGGAUACAGUGAGUUUACUGCUUGCGAGAAAAGAGUUUCGAAGAUUUACUCGUUCUACCGACGGUGCAUCGCGCGUAUACAUCAGUAAUAUUUAUUACAAUGGGACCGAGAUUGCUUUGGCCUAGCAGAUACAGCCGCGCGAGUGCAUGCAUCAUAACAAACACAACCGUACGCACACAAACGCACACGCAGAGACGUGGUUGCGGGAUACGAAAGCGCGGCUUGUGUAAAGGAUGCGCUUAAUCGUACGUCGGGUUGAAGCGACCACGAAGAUAACGCGAAUCGUUACUCUAUCGAGAUUCGUCGAUCAUUAAUUUCGAUUAAACUUGCGUUAAAUCAUUCCGCGCGGGUAAAUUCGUUAAUAAAUUGUUCUCAACAAAAGCUUAACACAAAUGUACGUUCCUCCUGGGCGAAGAUAAUUCACGACGAGUCUCGAUGCUCGAGCAACAAUGGAUCUCGCGAAAACGACGCGUACGUUGCCCGCGCAAGAGUCGAUCAACAUUUACCAAAGGAUCCGUAGACUAAACGACCCUAUUAAUUACAUCACGCACUAGUCGCUAAGCUCUAUCGAUCGAUAACUAUUUGUAACGUUAAGAAACGAUUAAUAGGCGUUAUACAUACAAACUCACGGUUAAGGGAUAAGGUUUUGCUCACGGAACCCAGCUGCACUCGCCUUUCUCCGUCGUUUUCUUCCUUGCUCGUUCUUUCUUUUUUUUUUUUCUUUCAACCCCCACCCCAGCAAUUCGCGAGCCAACCGAGCGCAGCUGGGUUAAGGAUCAGAAGGAUCUGAUUAAAUUGCUCCUAUAAGAUGCAUCCGCAGGUGCGACGCCGGCUCGGCUGGCUUCUCGACGAGGAAAUGCAUAUCCUGAAAUCGACGAUUUUUUAAGGCGGCUUAGCACGUCCAGGAAAUUGCAUUUUUCAAAUUUGCCCUCGACGCGUCCACGGACUCCUUCCGUGAAUUAAUUGGCCAACUCGGACGGGACCGUUUGCUCGUUGAAUAACGCGUUCUCCGACCGUUUCCCAGUUUACUUUGUCCGGCGAUGGCUCGGUUCCAGUUCGAGCGAGACAACGCGCACCCGUGAUUUAUCAUUUCGAGUGGUUCUCGACGAAAUGUGAAAUUGUUUUCGCGUUUCAAGCGUCAUUGCGUCGCGAUCUAUAAGCAACACGCGGCGUCUCGAUCUCUACUGGGAAACGGAGCUACGAGUUCCUGCGACGAUCGAGGUGCGAUGAUUCGGGAUAAAUAAUUUCACGAAAAGGAGUUUCGUUAUUUAGUCCCACUACUGUCGGUCACUUCGACCCUUCGAUUUUCAAUCAUAAUCGAGGUAAAUUUGAAGAAAAUUUUUGAUACUUUUAAUAGUUCGUAUCUGGUUGCAAUUGUAACGUUUUGCAAAAGGGGGCAAUUAAUUUGAAUAUCUCAUCCGAGUGUAAUUAUAUUUGUGAAACACAACGCAGUAAGUAAUUAUAAUAUCGAGACGUCCAAAAAACAUUCUUGUCAAAAUUUUACAAU